GGAAGUUGUGAGUGUGUGCGCGCAGCCGGGGAACGGACGAAAAGGACCGGAACUGGCCGGCGUGAAUUUCUGUUGUCGGACGCUGGGCCCUCGGGGUUGUGAGACUGGGCUUUUUAGUGCCAUGCAGCCUUUACAAUGUACCCUCCGACCACAGGGGUCUCUGAGAUGGGUGCCCUUGGCCUCUCUGUCCUGGCUACUGCUCAGGGCCUCCAGGAUGCACAGCUGUUUCCCUAGCACCACAUUUCCCAGUCCAGAGAGACAGCAGAAGAAUGAAGUUCAGAAGGAUUUCAGCUCCAGGCUGGCUAUUGGACCGACGUUUCAGGAUUUUUUAAGAAGUGCUUCAGUUCCUCAGGAGAAACCAUCUUCUCCAGAAGCGGAGGACCCACCCCCCUAUCUCACGGUGGAUGAACUUCUAGGAAAGCAGAGAAAAGUCUACCUUGAGACCUAUGGCUGCCAGAUGAAUGUGAACGAUACAGAGAUAGCUUGGUCCAUCCUGCAGAAGAGUGGCUACCUGCGGACUACUAACCUCCAAGAGGCUGAUGUGAUCCUCCUUGUCACUUGUUCUAUAAGGGAGAAGGCUGAACAGACCAUCUGGAAUCGUUUACAUCAACUUAAAGCCCUGAAGACAAAACGGCUCCACUCCCGAGUGCCUCUGAGGAUUGGGAUUCUAGGGUGCAUGGCAGAGAGGUUGAAGGAGGAGAUCCUCGACAGGGAGAAAAUGGUAGAUCUUUUGGCAGGUCCUGAUGCCUAUCGGGACCUUCCCCGGCUGCUGGCUGUUGCUGAGUCAGGCCAGCAAGCUGCCAACGUGCUGCUCUCUCUGGACGAGACCUAUGCCGAUAUCAUGCCGGUGCAGACAAGCCCCAGUGCCACCUCUGCUUUUGUGUCAAUCAUGCGAGGUUGUGACAACAUGUGUAGCUAUUGCAUCGUUCCUUUCACACGUGGCCGGGAGAGGAGUCGGCCUGUUGCCUCCAUUCUAGAGGAAGUGAGGAAACUUUCUGAACAGGGUCUGAAAGAAGUGACGCUCCUUGGUCAAAAUGUUAAUAGUUUUCGGGACAAUUCAGAAAUCCAGUUCAACAAUACAGUGUCCACCAACCUCAGCCGUGGCUUCACCACUAACUAUAAAACCAAGCAAGGGGGUCUUCGUUUUGCUCACCUUUUAGAUCAGGUCUCCAGAGUAGAUCCUGAAAUGAGGAUCCGUUUCACCUCUCCCCACCCCAAGGACUUUCCUGAUGAGGUUCUGCAACUGAUUCAUGAGAGAGACAACAUCUGUAAACAGAUCCAUCUGCCUGCCCAGAGUGGAAGCAGCCGUGUAUUGGAGGCCAUGCGUCGGGGAUAUUCAAGAGAAGCUUAUGUGGAGUUGGUUCACCAUAUCAGAGAUUCUAUUCCAGGUGUGAGCCUCAGCAGUGAUUUCAUUGCUGGUUUUUGUGGUGAGACAGAGGAAGAUCACCUCCAGACAGUGUCAUUGCUUCGGGAAGUUCGGUACAACAUGGGCUUUCUCUUUGCCUACAGCAUGAGACAGAAAACACGGGCAUAUCAUAGGCUAAAGGACAAUGUCCCAGAAGAGGUAAAAUUAAGGCGUUUGGAGGAACUCAUUACUGUCUUCAGAGAAGAGGCAACAAAAACCAACAAGGCUUCUGUGGGCUGUGCCCAGCUGGUGCUGGUGGAGGGGCUCAGCAAACGCUCUGCUAAUGACCUGUGUGGCCGGAAUGAUGGAAACCUUAAGGUGAUCUUCCCUGAUGUGGAGAUGGAGGAUGUCACUAACCCUGGGUUCAGGGUCAGAGCCCAGCCUGGUGACUAUGUGCUGGUGAAGAUCACCUCCGCCAGCUCUCAGACGCUUAAAGGACAUGUUCUCUGCAAGACCACUCUGAAGGACUCCUCAGCAUAUUGCUGACUUGAAGUGGAGGCAAGAGUUACUUGGGCCAUCCUAACAAUAGGAAGGGAGAUAAGACUGGUCACUGGUUAAGAGGAGUUAAAAGACUGCACGAGGGGAACAUGGGGAGAGAGCCACUUGCUUGGGAAAAUCUGCUCUAGAACUUUCUGAAAUUUUAGUUUGACACCAUUGAUUCAACUGCCUAUCUUCUCACUUUAUUCUAUGUUUCUUACAUGAGGAUUUCCUUUAUGGACUUAUUCCUUAGCCUGUCAGUUCAUUCUUUGGAAAUGUCAUUACCCACCAAUAGCUUCAGAGCAGUGGUUUCUGGCCCAUUCACCACCAGUUUCAUUAAAACAACAACAGCAAUAACAACAAACACAAAGUCAACAACAACAACAACAAACACCAAGUCAUAGUAGCGUGAAAUAUUUGGAGUCGAUAGGACUUUAAUUCAAAUCCCCACUCCAUUGCUUAAAAGCUGUGAGUCCUCGAGCAAGUUUAUGCUUUAUUCUUCUGAGCCUUGGCUCUCUCAUGUGUGAUGUGGAGAUAGUAAUAAAAUGCUUAUCUCAUUUAAUGCUUUUGGUGUUCACUGAGAUUAUUCUCAUAAAGAGCUUAGCACAGUCUAUGGCAUUUUUUAAGCUCUUUUCUUAUUAAAUUGAAGUAGUCAUUGAAUGAUUUUCCUUUAUAAACUGACUGCAUUUAUUAGGAAAUGCUGAGGUUUAUUGUGUUUCUGGCCAUGAUCUCCUUUUGGCUUUUUCCAUUGACCUCCUUGACAGCCUUUGGAAAUCCCAGACUGGAAAAUCUCUUCCUCAGGCGUUAGUUUGGCCUGGGAAGUUUGGUUUCUAUUCUCAGGGCCCAUCUUCUACUGAGGAGGACUUGUGUUAUGGUUCUUUAUCCCAGUUCUUCAUUCAAAAGACAUGUUAUAAAAGGGUUUGGAAAUUUAUUUUACUUUUUAAAAAAAGUAAAACAUACAUGUGGCAAAUAAUCACUUUCCUCUAAUGCUCUAGUUCCCUUUUACAAAAGCCAGCACUUUCAUCAUUUUUUAGUUUACCUCUUCAGAGAGAAUCUUUUUAUAUGCAAUGAUUUAUAUGUACAUUUGUUUUACACAAGUGGUUGCUAACUGUAGAUACUAUUCUUUUUUUAAAAAAUAGUUUUGUUCAAGUAUAUAUAAUUAACCUAGUGUUGAUAUUCCCCCAUAUUUAAAGUGUAUAAUUUGAUAAGUUUUGACAUAUGUAUACACCUAUGAGACCAUCACCAAAUCAAGAUAGUGAAUAUAUCUAUCACUCCUGAAAUUUUCUUGUUCCCUCUUGUACACCCUCCUUCUCUGACAUCCCUAUCAUCAAGCAACCAUUGAUCUUUCUGUCACAAAUUCUGAUAUGUUUUACUUUUGUUUUCAUUGAGUUCAGAAUACUUUCAAAAUUCUCUUUUGAUUUCUUCUUUGACCCUUGGGUUAUUUAGAAGUGUCAUUUAAUUUUCAGAUAUUUGGGGAAUUUUCCAGAGAUUUUUUAUGUUACUGAUUUCUAAUUCCAUUGUGACCAAAGCAUGACUUUUGUCAUUUGAAGUUAUUGAAGCUUGUUUCAUGAUUUCCAAUAUUAUCCAUUUUGGUAACUAUUCAGUGUCCACUUGAGAAGAAUGUAUGUUCUGCUGUUGUUGGGUGAGUGUUCUAUAAAUUCAUUCAAUUCAAGAUGGAUAAUAUUGUUCAAGUCUAAUAAACUUGCUUAGUUUCUGCCUACUCUUUCUGUCAGUUAUUAAGAGAGGACUGUUGUGACAGUAACUGUGGAUUUGUCCCUGCAGUUCUAUCAGUUUUUGAUUUAUGCAUUUUGAAGCUGUAUUAACAUGUGAAUACAGGCAUACCUUGGAGAUACUGUGGGUUUGGUUCCAGACCACUGCAGUAAAGCAAAUAUUGCAAUAAAGCAAGU